AAGACAUUGUGUCUUCGAGUCGUUGAUUUCACACUGCCGAGAAAAGCCUCUAGAUAGAAAAUAGGUGCCCGUACCGCAAACCGACACAGGUAGUCAAGAUGAGAAUUCUAAGGUGAGCGAGCGAACUCUCGUUAAGGAACUCGGCAAAAUGACCCCGUAACUUCGGGAGAAGGGGUGCUCUUUAGGGUUAACGCCCAGAAGAGCCGCAGUGAAUAGGCCCAAGCGACUGUUUAUCAAAAACACAGGUCUCUGCUAAACCGUAAGGUGAUGUAUAGGGGCUGACGCCUGCCCGGUGCUGGAAGGUUAAGAGGAGUGGUUAGCUUCUGCGAAGCUACGAAUCGAAGCCCCAGUAAACGGCGGCCGUAACUAUAACGGUCCUAAGGUAGCGAAAUUCCUUGUCGGGUAAGUUCCGACCCGCACGAAAGGCGUAACGAUUUGGGCACUGUCUCAACGAGAGACUCGGUGAAAUCAUAGUACCUGUGAAGAUGCAGGUUACCCGCGACAGGACGGAAAGACCCCGUGGAGCUUUACUGUAGCCUGAUAUUGAAAUUCGGCACAGCUUGUACAGGAUAGGUAGGAGCCUUUGAAACGUGAGCGCUAGCUUACGUGGAGGCGCUGGUGGGAUACUACCCUAGCUGUGUUGGCUUUCUAACCCGCACCACUUAUCGUGGUGGGAGACAGUGUCAGGCGGGCAGUUUGACUGGGGCGGUCGCCUCCUAAAAGGUAACGGAGGCGCUCAAAGGUUCCCUCAGAAUGGUUGGAAAUCAUUCAUAGAGUGUAAAGGCAUAAGGGAGCUUGACUGCGAGACCUACAAGUCGAGCAGGGUCGAAAGACGGACUUAGUGAUCCGGUGGUUCCGCAUGGAAGGGCCAUCGCUCAACGGAUAAAAGCUACCCCGGGGAUAACAGGCUUAUCUCCCCCAAGAGUUCACAUCGACGGGGAGGUUUGGCACCUCGAUGUCGGCUCAUCGCAUCCUGGGGCUGUAGUCGGUCCCAAGGGUUGGGCUGUUCGCCCAUUAAAGCGGUACGCGAGCUGGGUUCAGAACGUCGUGAGACAGUUCGGUCCCUAUCCGUCGUGGGCGUAGGAAAUUUGAGAGGAGCUGUCCUUAGUACGAGAGGACCGGGAUGGACAUACCUCUGGUGUACCAGUUGUCGUGCCAACGGCAUAGCUGGGUAGCUAUGUGUGGACGGGAUAAGUGCUGAAAGCAUCUAAGCAUGAAGCCCCCCUCAAGAUGAGAUUUCCCAACUUCGGUUAUAAGAUCCCUCAAAGAUGAUGAGGUUAAUAGGUUCGAGGUGGAAGCAUGGUGACAUG
rnacentral:rRNA from 1 species